GUUCUUUGAAAUCUCUCUGAGGAUAUUAAUUAUAAUCAUGUUGAUGUUUUCUUCUGUUCCAUAUAAUUUUUAGAUCUGUGGUAUAUUGAGUUUUUCAAUGUUUUGUUUUCUUGUUUUGAUCACAUUUUAAAAGAGAGUAUGGUUUAAACAAAAUUAAUAACUGGGAGUGUACUUCCUCAGACUGAAUGAUAAUUAGAUUUGCCUUGCAGUCAAAGCCACUUCAGAUUUGAGUUCGUGUUUCCCGUGAUUACUCAGGAAAUUCAUGGGGCUUCUGACCAAGUGGAGUCUCUACCUACUUUGUCUUCUGGAGAAGGUGGUUUCCACCCCUACAGACUGCAGCAAAUUCCUUCAUAUAUUGACUCCGGUGUUCCAUUUGGAGACAACUUAGGGUCACUGGUGCAAAGACUGGUGGUACCGGCUCAAGGGUUCCACCACCUCAGUGAUUAUGACCCACUCCCACAGCUCCAUUAUGCCAGUUUGGGGAUUCUUCCAAGAUUUUAUUUUGCUCAGGAAAUCCUCUCUUCUUUUCCCUUCUUUCUUUCCUUCUUUUCCUUCCUCGCCCAGGAAGCAGCAUUUCCUACCUUUCUUCCUUCCUCUCUUUCUAAUAGAAUGUUUUCCUCCCUGUUACAGGUUUUUGAACAGGUUGGCUGAAAAAAAAAAAAAAAAGCACAACAUGAGAGUUGUGAGUUAAGUUUUAUUUGGGGCUAAAUAAGGACUAUCGCCCAGGAGGCAGCAUUUUUCCCAGAGCACAGAGGGCCUCACUCCUGGGCUCCACCCUGGUCUCCUUUCAGAGGGUGUGGAGGGUUGGGAGCUGCAGGGGCUCAGGAUUCAAUCCACGUGGAGGCAGAUGGCAAAUGCCCGUCUCCAGUUCACAAAGAGAAGAAAAAAAGUUCUUUUAAAAUUAUUUUCAGAUAUACAAAACAGAGGAGCAAAAAUUGCUAUCAUCCCUAAGAAGGCAUGAUUUACAGGUUCAAACUCUCCCAGUGACCAUUUGAAUCCAUAAGGAUUUGUAAGUGAACUUCAUCUUUCAAGGAGUGCCUGUAGAUCAUACGAGGCAGCUCUGUCAUCAAGUCACAAGGAUGUGGGGAAAGAAUUCCUCUAUAAAUCCUGAGCUGACCUGGGAACGGAGUCAGGAGCGCUUAGCUCCUGUGUGCUUUGAUUUUAGUUUUUAUUGGUAUCACAUAUGAUGAUUCAUAUCUGAGGAUAACUCUGGCUGCACUUGGAAACUCAAGUAAAUGACACUUUUUUGUCUGAAUUUAUAAUGAUCAAAAAACUAUAGGACCUUAGGUGAAAUGAGUAAAAUAAUGACUUUUGGUUGAAUAUUUAAAACUUUGUCUUGGGGGAGCUCACUGAACUGCUUGGUUUUAGUGAUGAGUUGGUGGAGUGCAACUAGUCAUUGCCGACCGCCCCCCCGCCCCCCCCGGAAACUAUGGGAACUGCCUCGACCUGUGAGGUCAUUACAUCAUCUGUGACCUUGAACAUUACCCAUCAUUACAGGAGAAGAAACUCUCCUCUCCGUACUAAAAAAAAUAAAAAAGAAAGUGUAAUUAGCCAAAGAAGACAAUUAAUCCCUCUUCGCUCCAGGAAUCCAUAGCAGUGAUUCUCCUCAUAAUUUCCCAAGUGUUAGCCUGUCCCUUUUCCUUACAGAAAAACAGAAUCGUGGAAGUGAAAAUGGAGUCUCAGCUGAGCUGUCUUCUAGCUUGGCCGAAUCAUUUGUCCAUUCUAAUUCUCUCUUUGCUUUGCCUAAUACUUAGCGAUGUCUUGGUUCUUCUGCUGAACACAUUAUGUUUUCUUUUCAGUUUUGUUUCAUUACUGCUGGCGUGUCCAUUGUUUUGAGAAACAAAGCUUGCACGGGCUUGCCCCCCCAGAAAAUAAACUCUCCUUUAUUCCCGAAGGUGCUAUAGAUUCUUAAUGACGCUGAAGCCCACUCGGCAGUGCUGCAGUAACAGGCAAUUUGGGAGUAGGAUUCUUAUCCUGGCCAAAGGCCUUUAUCGCUGGUAAAAAUAAUAAAGUGAAUUCUGUGAAGAUUGUCUUUGAAAUCAUCACAUUUGAUAUUCUCCUUUGCACAUAAAUUAUUCACACACUCCUGAACCUUUUGUAUAGUAACAAAGGAGAAAUCCAGGGAAUCACACUUUUGUUUUUGCCCUUACGUAAUUCUUCGUGCAUGUAAACCGGACGAUGGGCGGAAACAUCCCAGAUGCAUCACAGACAUCAGUUUUUUCGUCUUCUCCUUGCAUAGAAGCUGCCACCAGCAAUGUGCAGUUUGGCCAACACCUCUGCCAUCGUGUGAACAAAGAGAGGAGUGUGUCACAAGACACACACACACGUAGGCUUUGUGGUGUCUGGUCUCAUCUGCGUUGUAAAAAUUUCGCCCAGUCAGUGCCGAUGUCAGAUACUUAGGCCUUGAAAAUUUAAAACCUAAAUAGCAACGUGGGCUGAAUUUUCACAUUUUAGUUUUAUUACUAUCCUAUUUCAUCAGGAAUGAAUAAGAGGCAGCUCCUGAUGUUGGCUGCGGCAGUCGGCACUCUUGAGAGAAAGAGAUAAGAGACUGAGAGAGAGAGAGACAUGGAGAUGAGAGACUUUGGACCGGCUGGAGUGUGGGUGCUGGCCAGUGUUAAGAGUGUGGGGCAGGCCGGCAGGCUGGAACCUCAGGCAGAGUUCCUUUUACAUCCAGGAACCUGUCUUUUUCUGAAGGCCUCCAACUCAUUGGAGGUGGGCAGAUGGAAGGCAACCUGCUUUUACAUAAACACCUCAGUCACGCUAAUUGCAUCUAAAACACAGCCUCACUGCAACAUCUACACUGGGAUUUGACCAAACUCCUGGGCACAUAGCCUAAGCCAGGUUGGCACAACUUUACCAUCAUCAAUGGUCUUCACACGGGCUUUGUUGAGUCCACCAUGAGAGGUGGACAUCUAACCCAUCUUUAAAAUCUCUGUUGAGAAAGUGUAUCAUACGCUUUCCAGAAUUUCAAAGGGAAUCUUAAAAUCCCUCUGUUGAAUCUCCUUCCUCAAGUGUAAUUUUUAAACCCACUAGUCCUUGCACUCCCUCUAGUAGAAGUGCUAAUAAUUAGAUAGCCAAUUCCUAUGAAAUUAAUAUACUUCUAUAAGCAACUUUUAAAAUAACCCUCUAACCAAGGAUUUCUAGAUACUGUGAAGUAUGAGUGACAUUCUUCAUGUGGCUCUCAGCUUUGUUUUAAACUCUUACAUUUAGGGUUUUUAAAAGUUUUAUUGAGUUUUAUUCUCAUACCCUAAAAAUCAUCUAUUUAAAGUGAAUAAUUCAGUGUUUUAAUACCUGUGCAAAGUACAUGAAAGAUGCUUAUCGGUGAGAUACAUAUCAUUAUUUUAAACAAUUAAAAUUAGAUUGCUUUUCAGAAAAAAUAGAUUAUAAAUAUAUCUCUAUAUAUCAUAUAUAUGUAUAUAUCAUAUAUCAUAUAUGGUGUUUUUUUGAGCUUCAUUUCCCUAUAAUCAACUUAUUCUUUUUGAAGUGGAUGGAUGUAAUAAUUACAAGUAUAUACUAAUAAUUUUCCUACAUAUUGUGCAUAAUUAUAGAAAUUUUAUUUCUAAAUAUAUUACAUCAUUCAGCCAAUACCAUUAAAAUGAAUACUUGUGGUAUGACUGUGAGGUCACAGCAAUUGGUAAUAACCCAAUAUCUGAGGUAUUACCAAGAGAGUGGGCUGGAGGGUGUGCUAUUUAGCUGAUGCACUGAUUCAAUGGCUAAACUUUCUAUCCAUUGAUAGUUGGGCUUAUUAAUAUAUUUCUUGUCUAAUCCUCAUGAGGGAAUAGCAAUGGGCAUACAGGAUAUAGAUUUCCUACCUUAAAAUCUUUGUUCAUGUAUGUAUCCACUCAGCCACUCACUUCUGAGCCCUUGCGCUGUUCUAGAAUCUAUGCUUGGUCCAUGGACAGAGCUGCCCUCAUGAAACUUACAGUCUCCUGGGGGAGGUAGACAUUAGCUAAACAUUCAGACACGUAAAUGCAACAUUACAUAACUGCUAUCAUGCUGAAAGGGAAAGGCAUGCUACUUCUCAACUUCCUAGACAAAGGAAAGAACCUAACGCAUCUGGCUUUAGGUGAGUGAGUGUUGUUUGUUUUACUUAAAAGAAAACAAUGUUACCAGUAGGUACCAUCAAACAACAAUGCCUCCCUUUCGGCAUGGUACUGACAAGGUUCCAGUCAAAGAUGCUGGCAUUGCUCCCUUGAUGGACUGACUGUAAAGAUUCCAUUUUCAUGCCUGGAGAACAGAGCAGAGCGUAGGAGGAUGGAGGACGGGAGAGGCAUUUCAUCAUUUAGCCAGAAAGGAGUUCUUGCACUGCAUUAUUGGUAAGAAAGUCAGAGUUGCUUCAUGGUGUGCUACUCCCUUGCAGGAGCAUGGUGGGCUCUGCAGCUGAUCAACCCUCAGUGAUCAGCUACAGAGCACAUCUGUGGAACAGCAGUGGGAUCAUCUGUGUCUUGCUUGGUUCAGAGGGAGGAGGGACCAGUGAGGUCUUCCUUUAGGAUCUUAGUUGUAUGGACCAUGCCCAGGGUGCCCUGCUGCUCUAGGCUUGUUUUAAUUUCUUUUUAAAAUUUUAAUGUAACACAUGAAAAAACAAAGUUGUAUAUGAACACAUAUAUAAUUUACAAAGCUUAAUAUCAGAGUAUAUGCCUUCUAGUUCUCUGCCAACUUAAGCCCUAAAACAGUGAAGAAUGACAUUGUGUCUAAGUUUUCAUACCACAUCUUUCUGUCUUUCCCCAGAGGUAACCACACUGCUGAAUCUUGCCUUUAUCUUUCUCUUGCUUACGUUUAUCACUACAUGUGGUUUUUCAAAAAAAAACCUUUGCUUUUGUGUGAGUCCCCUGCAUUCAUUUUAUUUCCUUGGUACCUGUCACUCUCCCACUCCUAGAGAAAUCUCAGAGAGUAUAAGGUGAGUCUUAAAACAGGGGCCUGCAUGGUUUAGAAAAGGGAAAUUGUGAGAAUCUGACCAACUGUCUACAUGAACAUGGAACACAGAAUAUUGCAAAAGUUGAAAAAGCACAUGUAAGGGGGGGGGUUGAGAUCACAAUCUUUAAUAUUUCAGAGAUUUGGCCAGUAAGACAAUAAAAGACAUCAGCAGAAUGGUAUGUUGAAAAGUGGUGAAGGCUUGGAAUGAGGCAGGUUUGAGUCUGAAUCUCAGCUUUUUCGAUCAGGAGCUGGGUGGCCCUGAGAAGUUAACUGACCUCUCUGAACCUCCAUUUCCUCCAUGGGGAGGGGGUUGGAGAACGAGUAUCUCCCAAACAUUGUGAAGACCUGGAACUCAGUAAGCCUUCAAUAUUCUCUUCUUCUGUGUAACAUCAUUAGAGGCCCCAAAUUCCAAUCAUUGCCUGUCUCUGGUUCCCAUCUUUUUCUGGAAUAUACUAUGAUCUUUGUCUUGAAUUUGUCAUGUUUGACUGUGUGCCAAACCACAGUAUGACAAUUUAUCCAAUUCUUCCUUCCUUAGACAAAUUUCCUGCCAAAUCUGAGAUUUUUAGGUUGCCCUGUCACCUUGCCUCUUAGAUUGAUUAGUUUUUUUGGCACUUUUAGCUAUUUCUCAAAAUUUAAUUUUCUUAUGUAAUAAGUAACUGCCAAUAAUAAUAUUUAGCAUCUAUAUACUCAGUAUAAACAAACUAACAGGCAACAGGAAGAUGAAAGUGUUAACAUCAGGUUGAUUCCAUUGGGACCAAGGGCCUCUGAGGGACCUGACCAUACCUCUCCAUCUCAGGGCAGCUGUGAACUUGACCUUGGGAACUAUUUGGUUACAUUUCUUUGUGCAGUUUUUUUUUUAUAGAGAACUCAGAUUUAGUCCUGCAGCUUGUGUGCCUCUCGUGCAGAGACUUGCAUGAAGCAAGCUAAUAUUCUGACCUGGUAGGGUGACUGCACACUGUGGGUAUUUGAGAUUCAGAAGAGGAUGUGGAUCUGACACAAAGAAUGAUUAUUAUUUCCUGCAAUGAGAACUGCAUUAGCAACAGAGAGGUGAUAAUAGGGGGACGUGUCAGAAAAAUGUUGGCAAGAGUCUUAGAGAAUAAAGUUCUCCCUAAUAUGUUUUCUUGUAUGUAGUUGCACUUGUAUCAGCAAAUUCUUAAAAAUCCGUAGAUGAAAAAUUUUGUAGGUCAAAUGUCAAUAUUGAUCAAAAUGUUAGAAAGCUCAAUACUCUUCCAGGACAUAUGCUAUUGAUUUAUUUUAUUGAGUUUCUACAGGUCCAUUAGGGUUAUUCCUUGGUGGGUGUUUUACAUAUGAAAACACAAUUAAAACCCAUUUAUAAUAUCUGUUCAAAUAAAACAUCUGCAGAUAACGGCCACAGAGUUUGCCCUCCCAAGCCGGUUUUUGAUAAAGGAUAUAAUUUCAUAUGUCCACAUGUGCAACUUGUCUUACUUAGGCACCUGGGAGAUGCUUGAAACUUGAUUGCCAAAUGUGGAGGGGAGGAGGGAGGAUUGCUGGCUUUCCAAUAAAGGUCAGAUGAAAUUGUUCUGGAAGCCUAAGGGAAUAGUUUUUAAAGAAGUUCUGUAAGAGAGAAGGUUUCUUACUGUAGGUGGCUCAGGACUGCAUGAAAUUACAGGACACUAAAGAAAGGAGUGCUUACUCGAACUCCUUUGUUCCAAAGGAAGUCUGUUGCCAAAAAGCAACAAGAUUCAAGGAGACGCAAAAAGCUGAACACACCAGGAAGCUAGAAAAUUGAAUAUUCAAAUGGGCAAUGAACGUGGAGCAUGUUCAAGAUGCUUGAAAAUGAUGUGAGAUGUUCAUCUAUUACCCUUGCCUCAAAGAUGUGCCUCAUGUGAGGUGAUGUGUUAAUUCUUCAUCUGGGCCCUGAGCUGUGUGCUUCCUUUGUGGUGACUCUACUAACUUAAUGAAUGCCUUUGAAUAUGUUCAACGAGUUCCUAGGAAGUUAGGAAGUUUGAGAAAACGUGAACUAAAUCAAUAGAGGAGAAAGAUGAAAUGAGUAUCUACAAAAGGGCUUGGCAGGGAUGGAACAUUUGCUCCUUUGACAAAUGACAAAGUAGGUGAUCGAUGCUCAAGCAUUGAUGCAAUUUUUCUUCUUUAUUCUCUGUCAAUAUUGGUGCAGGAGACACAGCCUGAGACCAGAAGUUUAGAUGACCUAAGUUUUAGUACAAGCCCUCUUCCAACUUUCUUUAGUUUUCUGUCAUAUGAAAGCUGAAAUACAUGAUUUAAGAUUUUUAUUAUAAAAACAGUAUCUUAAACAUUACUGAAGCAUUAUAUAUUCUCAGACUGGUAAAUGACCCUAACUUGAAAUAAAUUAUCCUGUGUCAAUCGUCUUGUUGAUUGAUUAGAUGGUGAACUACAACUAAAUCAUGAAUCAAAGCCAUGACUCCUAAAGGCUCAGGGAGUGAGUGAGAAAACACUGGCUCAGGUCAUAUCCUGUGGCUUAAUAAUCAUAAACCUGUCCAGUAUGUUCACAGUUUGAUUGCUGGCUAUAAAGUUCAAAUGCUAGACUCUGUGGUCAAAAAAAAGAUGCCUGGGCUCUCUAGAACUAGGCAGAAAAGGGGAAAUAAAACAAAAAAACCUCCUGAAUGAUCAUCAGUAACCAAUUUACUUAACAUGCAAAUUCCUUCCUAAGAACUAGGUACAGAGUGAAUUGUAACAGUAAAUUUAAACUAUGAUGAACAAUACUGAUAUGAUUAAGUAGUAGUUGAUUUAGAUUAUCUCCCUCUUUACUAGGUUUUGGAGUGCUUUUUUUGUUCUUGAAUACUUAGAAUACACAAUUCUAAGGGGUUGAUUUUGACCCUCAGAAUCUGGUCCUGCCUGGUCUAUCACAUCCCAUUUCAACUCCUCCAUCAUUUUUCACUUCUCAGAGCCCUUCACUUCUUCCCCUUUCUCUUCCAUCAGUUGUCUCCUGCUCACAGCCUGUCUCAUCUCAGGUCCAAA
rnacentral:lncRNA from 1 species